GUACAGACUGCUGCCACGCCGGCUGGCUAGGUUGCUCUCUCAGGAUUUGAAGUCCAUCUGACUUCCCCUUUGUGCCAUCUUUGACUGGCUGAUGUGCCCUACACUGCACCUUACCAACUGUAGCACACAGGAGAGGGACCUUUACCCUGUCUGGGCAGCACACUAGAGCUGACCCUGUUGUCUGCUAUCGGGGCACAGAGCAACCCAACUCCUGAGUAUAAUGGGCAUGAAAUUACUUCAUAAGGUAACUUGCAGAGGUGUCCUCCCUUUGAGCUCUGAAAUUUCCCCAGAAGAGAGGAAGGCAGAGGAGUCAUGGACACCAGGAGAACACACCGCACAGAAUCAACUAGUCAAGGCUCACAUGGGCUCACAGAGACUGAAGAGGCAAUCACAGCUCCAGUUGAUGUUGCUGUCCUCUUUCUCAUUGCACUUGGUCCCGGAGGAAGCAAGAAGUGCUAGUGAAUGUUUUUCUGAAGUUGAGAUGAGUGUACGAAAUGCUGACCUGAAUGCUUCUGAAUCGGCACUUAAAAAUAACCCUGAAAAAAUGAUAAAAGAAAGAAAAUGCUGAGUAAAGAGCAUCAAGCUCUUAGUAUUCAUGGUACCCAGAGAUGCUGAAAACCCUGCAUUCAAACACAAGCUAUAACAGAGCUGGGCAUAGAUCUUAUAACAAGAGGCUACACACUGGAUAAUCACAUGUAGACCUGAUAUAUAAAAUCAUUAUGUUUUUCUAUAGAACAAUAUAUAAAUGUAGUUGAUCUUUAUAAAUAAACAUAUUUUAUUGAAAUCUUUCUAUCUGUAUAUGUUGGUAUGUAUAAAU
ensembl:lncRNA